CGCAUUUAUCACUCAAAAUAAGAUGAAGUAAGAAUUGUCCAAUUCAUCCGCCGUAAUUCGAAUUCUUCAUGGGGUCUCGCGCCAAGUGAAACGGACAAGCGCGGGCAGCGGCCUCAACGAGUUUCGGAAAGCGUCGACAACUGCUGUCCAGCGACCGCAACGUUUGUCCAAACAAGUUAUACGAUAACGUAACGUAACUUUGCUAUCUCACAACCGUCUCUUCCCGAUGACGAACUACUGUCUGCGCUCCUAUCGCGUGUAGUCUCGUCGAGACGCGCGGGAAACCACCGACGUCGUGCAACGUCGCGAGCAAAAUCCCCAACGGCAUGCCGGACUUCGCGACCGCGAGAAAUUCGCCUCGAAAUAUUUCCGGCCGAGAAACGCACUGAAGAGGAGAAUGGAGGAGAAUGACGCGGGCAGCGUGAGAACCGGUGGAAUUUGGCGGCAAGGCCCGAUCAGCUGAUUGGUGGGCGACGGUUUAGGCGCGAAACGCCGGCAUGGGAGGCCAAUCGGGGGACGUGAUCGAGAUAAUUUCGUCCGCGCCAGUGUUCCCUGCCCCAUUCGCCGGAACGGUUUUCAGUGUCGUUCGUUAUUGUCGUUCGCCUUCGCCGUCAUCCUCGCAGUCAUCCUCAUCAUCCUCCUCGUCGCCGUCUUCGUUUUCAAGCGUCGAACCCAGCUGUCCUGAUAACGAUGGCGUUGCACGAAUCCACGAAGGAAAACGUCCGCAAGCACCUCGAGGACGUGUCAUUGCAUACAUCACCAAAAAAAUCAUGUAUUUCUCCAACUAUAUCUCAGGAUCAUGGCUUGAAAAAUGGGCUUACCAAAACAAAAGCUGUACGAAAGGUGCAACUAAAGGAUGACUUCAAUCCAGAACUGGAGCCACUGUUGCAGGAAGGUCCAAAUCGUUUCGUAAUUUUUCCUAUUCAAUAUCCUGAUAUCUGGGAUAUGUAUAAAAAGGCUGUAGCAUCGUUUUGGACUAUAGAAGAAGUACCUCUUCAUAAGUUGGACAAGAAGGAUUGGGAUGAAAAACUAAGUUCCGACGAAAGAUACUUUAUCUCUCAUGUCUUGGCAUUUUUCGCCGCUUCUGAUGGUAUUGUUAACGAGAAUCUGAUUGAAAGAUUCAGUCAGGAGGUGAAAGUCGCUGAAGCACGUUGUUUCUACGGCUUCCAAAUGGCCAUAGAGAAUAUUCAUUCCGAAAUGUAUUCUUUGCUCAUUGAAACUUAUAUUACCGAUCCAAAAGAAAAAGAUUUUUUAUUUAAUGCGAUUGAGACGCUUCCUUCUGUAGGAAAGAAAGCUAAUUGGGCAUUGAAUUGGAUCAAUCAUGAGAGUGCUACGUUCCCAGAACGUGUAAUCGCAUUCGCGGCAGUCGAGGGUAUUUUCUUCAGCGGCAGUUUUGCAGCGAUAUUUUGGCUGAAAAAACGAGGAGUCAUGCCAGGUCUUACUUUUAGCAACGAACUCAUCUCGCGGGAUGAAGGAUUACACUGCGAUUUUGCAUGUUUAAUGUUUAAACACAUUGUACAAAAGCCGUCAUUUGAACGUGUAAAAUCAAUCAUAAUGGAUGCUGUGGAAAUCGAAAAGGAAUUUUUGACGCAGGCGUUGCCGGUCGAGCUGAUAGGCAUGAAUUGCACACUCAUGUGUAACUAUAUCGAAUUUGUUGCAGACAGAUUAUUCGUUGCAUUAGGAUUUGAAAAAGUUUACAAUUCGGAGAAUCCGUUCUCGUUCAUGAAUUUUAUUUCCUUGGAGGGCAAGACAAAUUUCUUCGAGAAGAAAGUGGGCGAGUACAAGAAAUUUGGAGUAGUGGAAGAAGGUUCUCAAAAAAAGAGCAGCACAUCAAGUGUGGUGUUUGGUGCAAACUUUUAAUACAAAAGUUGUUCUGCUGUUCGUGUGAUUUGACAUUGAGAGGCAUCAAGAGGAGCAAUAUCCAAGGGCAAGAAUAAUGUAUGUACCACCUCAUAUGUGUUUUCAAACUAUCCGACAUAAGCAGGGGCGAGAUGACAUCGUCGAUACCGCAGAAUCAGAUUAUCCAGCGAUACGAUUUCUGGCGGUUGCCUAUGGUGUUCCAAUCUUUGAUCGGCUUCGCUGUUAUCCAUAUACCAAGCGCGCACCAUAGUCUCCUUCGAAAAAUAACAAAUCGACGUUACUACGAAUAACGGUGGUGACGAUAGAGAUCGGUCUACUGCGUAUUAACCGGGCAAUUAUGACGUAAGCAAUUUACUAAUUAUCAGUUCACUAACGUCCUCCAACGAAUUUCGAGAGAAAUCUACAAAUGGAGGGAUUACCACAAUGUUUAUUGACAAUUCAUCGCAAACAAGAAGCUAAAUUUUAAAUUUUUAAGUAAGAAAUCUUGAUUUUUGCUCAAGAUGGAGCAUUGGAUGAAUAAUAUUACAAAAGAUUACAGUGAGUGCAUGAAACUCAUCUUAAUGCAAGAACAAAAUGAUUAUGGAUUAUUGAAAAAUCUCUCGUCCCGAGAUACGGAACAGGCCUCGCGUUUUAUUGAUAGAAUAAUAAUGAGAAUUGUCUCUUUGUUGAAAAUAAAUCGACAAUUCAGGAUGUACAACAUUAAGUUAUUCACUGAAGACAUUAAUUCAAUAAAAAAAAAGCAUAAUAUUUCACUAUUCAGUUUGUGUUAUAAUUAUCUUCUUUUGAAUACGAAUUUUUCCUCACAGUAUUUUUUGAAAAGGGACAUGAGAUUCGGCUGUAUGGUCAAUUUAUGGCCUACUGUAUCACCUUAUCUCUUUAUUCAGGUGAAUUUUUAAUAAAUGACUUAUGCUGACAUA